UACGUAGGACCCAAGCGUUAUCCGGAGUGACUGGGCGUAAAGAGUUGCGUAGGUGGUUUGUAAAGUGAAUAGUGAAAUCUGGUGGCUCAACCAUACAGGCUAUUAUUCAAACUCACAAACUCGAGAAUGGUAGAGGUAACUGGAAUUUCUUGUGUAGGAGUGAAAUCCGUAGAUAUAAGAAGGAACACCAAUGGCGUAGGCAGGUUACUGGACCAUUUCUGACACUGAGGCACGAAAGCGUGGGGAGCGAACCGGAUUAGAUACCCCGUAGUCC
rnacentral:rRNA from 1 species